CAAUCGUGGGGGAUAACGCAGCGAAAGCUGUGCUAAUACCGCAUAAGAUCUACGGAUGAAGCAGGGGACUCGCAAGAGCCUUGCGCGAAUGGAGCGGCC
rnacentral:rRNA from 1 species